CAUAUUUCUUUAAUUUUAUGUAAAGAGGCGCACUUUAUUUAAUUCAUUCCUCUAGCCCAAUCUGCCUCUCCUUUCUCUCUUAUCGGUAAGAAUGAAUUCUUAACUUCCCAAACUAAAUUCAUUUCUUUUUUUCAAAUCCCUAAUUCCAAGUGAGAACGGUGCCCCUCUUCUUCUCUUCUCCUCUCCGGCAAAAUCGCCGUCAACUGCCCAUCUCCACCGGUCAUCUCUGCCGACACUCUCACUGUGUCGGCUCCCUCUCUCUCCGUCGAGCUACCCGGAAGGCGCGACGCCAUUGUCCUUCUCUCUAUCUUCACUCGGCGGCGCCGGCACCAGCUGCCGCUGCCUCGCGCUACUGCUCCAGCAGCGCCGCUGCUCCUGUCGGCUCUCCGGAGCCCCGUCGUAACUCGACCCUCGCCGGACAUCCCCUUAUGCUAAGCUACGCCCUCUAUCCAGUUUGCUACUUAUCAUAAUUAUGUUCGAUGUUUGGGCAGUAGCUAUGUGAUGUUAUUACUUGGUGGUUCGGCUAGUUCACAGUGGUGCAUUAUUUGGUUUCGGUUCCAUUUGAAAGUUAUGGUAUUGAACUCUAAAAUUCAUGUGUUCUUGAUCAUCUACGGUUCUAAGUUUUCAAGCUAUAAGUGGGAUUUCUAACGUGAUGCAAAGGGUGGUGUUGUGGAGUUCACCUUAGCUUGGGUGAUACUUUGGGGCUGCUCUCUUGCUGCCACUGCUCCCCUCUCCACUUCUUGCUGACUUUCGAAACUUAGAGGGUGUUGGAGUGUGGUGGGAGAAGAAGGGUGAUGGUCCUUUAUAUAGCCACUAACCUUGGCUUCUUGUGGCAGCCCCUUGGGGUUCACACCUUCUAUUUUGAGCUAGAGCUUCUCCUUACUUUUGUGCUUACUCACAAGGCUCCUCAUGCCAAACUAGUGAAGAUUUUUGGGGAUGGUGCAUUUGGCUGAUACUACAUGUUGUUUGGUUCCUAAAGUGAGGAUAUGAAUCACCAUUUUGAGCCUACAAAGUAAUGGUUGUCACUUGGAGUUUUGUGGCUACUUCAAAAAUCGAGAAAGCUUGGGGAAGGAGAAUAGAAGAUUUGUGUUGUAGCUUUCUUGACCAAAAUCCUAAUUUAGCUACUAUCCAUGCCCUAGAUCUUUGGGGCAAUUAAAGUGGAAGUGUUCUAUUCCAUAAUUUAGCACUCAUGAUGUAAGCAAAAUAUGUAUAUGCAUAGUAGGCGUACCCUUCUAUGCAUUCCCAAGUGUAGACUAUUUGUGUCCAAAUGUUGACUAUGCUUUACUUGAGCUCUUAUAGAGUAGCUCUAUUUCGUAAUCUUGUAAAUGAGGACCCCACUUUUGUUUUCUUUACUCCUUUUAGCUCUGUAGUAAAAAUUCUUGUGUAAGGUAGACAUAUUUUCUCUACUUGUUCUAAGAUCCAUGUAUUCUUUUCCAUGAAAGGUAGUUUUCCUACAUUGUAAAGUA